AUUGAACGCUGGCGGCAUGCCUUACACAUGCAAGUCGAACGGCAGCACGGGAGCAAUCCUGGUGGCGAGUGGCGAACGGGUGAGUAAUAUAUCGGAACGUGCCCAGUCGUGGGGAUAACGUAGCGAAGCUACGCUAAUACCGCAUACGAUCUAUGGAUGAAAGCGGGGAUCGCAAGACCUCGCGCGAUUGGAGCGGCCGAUAUCAGAUUAGGUAGUUGGUGAGGUAAGGACUCACCAAGCCGACGAUCUGUAGCUGGUCUGAGAGGACGACCAGCCACACUGGGACUGAGACACGGCCCAGACUCCUACGGAGGCAGCAGUGGGGAAUUUUGGACAAUGGGCGCGAAGCCUGAUCCAGCAAUGCCG
rnacentral:rRNA from 1 species